rnacentral:tRNA from 1 species
GGGGCUAUAGCUUAGUGGCAGAGCACUUGCCUAGCAUGUGUGAGGCACUGGUUUCAAUCCUUAGCACCA